AUGGAGUUGAGCCAGAGUUACAACAGCUCUGCUUUGGACUAUUCAGAAGAUACCUUUGAGUCCUUCAGUGAGGAGGAGGAGAUCAAACCAUCUGGCUCCUGCUGUCCCACAGAGGAUUUGGAGGGCUCAGAUGUGUUGGAAAGCACAUCAUGGUUGGCAGGCCAAAGUCAUGCAGAGGAGCAAUCUGAAGGAGUGGAUUCUGCAGCUCUGGAAAGAGUUGCCAUAGGAAAAUGGAUUGAUGCCAUGGGAAGAUGGAGAGAUCUGAAAAAUAAAGAAGCUGAGGUUAAACAGGACAACUCUGUCAGGAAAACUCAUGGUGAAAUUCUUGAAUUAUUUGAUGGAGAACUGGAUGCUCUCAGGUCUUUUUGCACCAGGAAGAUAAAUGGGAUGAACCAGCAGCUGAGCCCUGAGCAGGGAAACACGGGCAAGGCAAGGAAGCUGCAGGAUGGAGUCCCAGCAGUGAAAACUGGGACAGGAGAUGGGAACUGCAUUGUUCCUGGUCAGCUGAUGAACAGAAUCCUCCUGGAAAACACCAGAGAGACUGUUAAACAGGUGAAAGCCAGGGAGAUUUUGGCUAAAGCACUGGAUAAUAAAGCCAUACCAUGA
rnacentral:lncRNA from 1 species